rnacentral:rRNA from 1 species
GAUGAACGCUGGCGGCGUGCUUAAUACAUGCAAGUCGAACGAUGAAGCCCAGCUUGCUGGGUGGAUUAGUGGCGAACGGGUGAGUAACACGUGAGUAACCUGCCCUUGACUCUGGGAUAAGCGCUGGAAACGGCGUCUAAUACCGGAUACGAGCUUCCACCGCAUGGUGAGUUGCUGGAAAGAAUUUCGGUCAAGGAUGGACUCGCGGCCUAUCAGGUAGUUGGUGAGGUAACGGCUCACCAAGCCGACGACGGGUAGCCGGCCUGAGAGGGUGACCGGCCACACUGGGACUGAGACACGGCCCAGACUCCUACGGGAGGCAGCAGUGGGGAAUAUUGCACAAUGGGCGCAAGCCUGAUGCAGCAACGCCGCGUGAGGGACGAAGGCCUUCGGGUCGUAAACCUUUUUUAGCAGGGAAGAGGCGAAAGUGACGGUACCUGCAGAAAAAGCACCGGCUAACUACGUG